GUGGAGUACACAAUUUAAAUAAAAUUCUAACAGGGUCUUGAGCCCAAACGUAUACUUAUUCAAAUAAUAUCCCUGGCCCAAUCCUAUUUCCUUUUGAGCCCAAUACUCUAAAUUCUUCCUUCCACCAUCAGGAGCCCUUCUCCUCACCCUUCACGUGAAUCCUCAUUUCUACAGAGAAACAUCUUUCAAAUUUCAAAAUUCAGUCAAAGCAAUUAAUCCCAAAUUGAUUAAGCAAUCAAAUACAAAAAAUUCUCCCCUCCCACGUCCCAGCAAUUACGUCUCAGCAAUUACUCCCUCUUCACCCAUUCCUGCAAAUCUUUCCUAAUUUUGGACGCAAUCAAAGUGAAAUCAAGCACCAAAAAUUGCUCUCAGUACACAGAUAUAUAAAUCUUCCUACCCUAAUCUCCUUCCCUCACACAAAUUCGCAGCCACUCACUUCUCACUGUUGAAUCGCAAAGCGGCGGAGGGAGCAGUAGGAAGAAACUUUAUUUUUCCUCACCGAAUCCUAAUUCCAUCACGGUAACCACUCUCUCAUCCUCCUUUCAUGUUCUUCCUCAUAAAAUGAAAUAUCGUUUACCCCAAAGCCUUCUGACAGAAACUAGGAUCGAUUCGAGAGGGGGACAAGCCAGAAACUGCAAUCUUUUGUUUCAAUCCAAUCUGUUCUUUUGAAGGUGAAUCCUCGCAAGCGAAACGUGAUACCAAGGGGAAGAAAAUACUUGUGAUCUAAGCAGUCGAGGUUGAGCGGCGACGAGCGGUUGGCGGUGUUGAGCAAAUUAAAUGAAGAAUUAAA